UGGUGGAGCCAUUGGGUUUAAUUCGAUGCAACGCGAAGAACCUUACCUGGUCUUGACAUACAGAGAACUUUCCAGAGAUGGAUUGGUGCCUUCGGGAACUCUGAUACAGGUGCUGCAUGGCUGUCGUCAGCUCGUGUCGUGAGAUGUUGGGUUAAGUCCCGCAACGAGCGCAACCCUUUUCCUUAUUUGCCAGCACUUCGGGUGGGAACUUUAAGGAUACUGCCAGUGACAAACUGGAGGAAGGCGGGGACGACGUCAAGUCAUCAUGGCCCUUACGACCAGGGCUACACACUGCCUUACAAUGGAA
rnacentral:rRNA from 1 species